rfam:Hordeum vulgare subsp. vulgare, WGS project CAJW01000000 data, contig: morex_contig_147361
UUCAUACUCCCUCCGUCCAAAAUUACUUGUCACAAAAAUGCACAGAAAUGAAUGUAUCUAGAACUAUAAAAAGUCUAAAUGCAACCAUUCCUACGACAAGUAAUUUCUCACGGAGGGAGUAUAAU